rnacentral:rRNA from 1 species
CAGUAGCCGCGGUAAUACGGAGGAUCCAAGCGUUAUCCGGAAUUAUUGGGUUUAAAGGGUGCGUAGGCGGCAUGCUAAGUCAGGGGUGAAAGACGGUGGCUCAACCAUCGCAGUGCCUUUGAUACUGGUGUGCUUGAAUGUACAUGAGGUAGGCGGAAUGAGACAAGUAGCGGUGAAAUGCAUAGAUAUGUCUCAGAACACCAAUUGCGAAGGCAGCUUACUAAGGUAUGAUUGACGCUGAUGCACGAAAGCGUGGGGAUCAAACAGGAUUAGAUACCCCCGUAGUCCCUGUCUAUUAUAA